rnacentral:rRNA from 1 species
CCUACGGGAGGCUGCAGUGGGGAAUAUUGCUCAAUGGGGGAAACCCUGAUGCAGCGACGCCGCGUGAGUGAAGAAGUAUUUCGGUAUGUAAAGCUCUAUCAGCAGGGAAGAAAAUGACGGUACCUGACUAAGAAGCCCCGGCUCACUACGUGCCAGCAGCCGCGGUAAAACGUAGGGGGCAAGCGUUAUCCGGAUGUACUGGGUGUUAAGGGCGCGUAGACGGCCAGACAAGUCAGAAGUGAAAGCCCAGGGGUCAAUCCUGGGACUGCCGUUGAAACUGCCGGGCUGGAGUUGAGGAGGGGUAGGCGGAAUGCCUGGUGUAGCGGUGAAAUGCGUAGAUAUCACGAGGAACUCCGAUUGCGAAGGCAGCACACCGGCGCCCGACUGACGCUGAGGCACGAAAGCGUGGGUAUCGAACAGGAUUAGAUACCCCUGUAGUC